UACGUAGGGGGCAAGCGUUGUCCGGAUUUAUUGGGCGUAAAGAGCGCGUAGGCGGCUUUACAGGUCCGUUGUGAAAACUCGAGGCUCAACCUCGAGACGCCGGUGGAAACCGUAAAGCUAGAGUCCGGAAGAGGAGAGUGGAAUUCCUGGUGUAGCGGUGAAAUGCGCAGAUAUCAGGAGGAACACCCGUGGCGAAAGCGGCUCUCUGGGACGGUACUGACGCUGAGACGCGAAAGCGUGGGGAGCAAACAGG
rnacentral:rRNA from 1 species